UGGGGAAUAUUGGGCAAUGGGGGGAACCCUGACCCAGCGACGCCGCGUGGGUGAAGAAAUCCUUCGGGAUGUAAAGCCCUGUUGUACGGGAAGAGCGGAAGACGGUACCAUACGAGGAAGCCCCGGCAAACUACGUGCCAGCAGCCGCGGUAAUACGUAGGGUGCAAGCGUUGUCCGGAAUUACUGGGCGUAAAGCGCACGCAGGGUGAAUUAUAAGUCGGUGGUAAAAGGCGGGGGCUCAACUUCCGUAUAUCUAUCGAUACUGUAAAUCUAGAGUAUGUGAGAGGGAUGCGGAAUUCCCGGUGUAGCGGUGAAAUGCGUAGAUAGCGGGAGGAACACCAGUGGCGAAGGCGGCUUCCUGGCACAAUACUGACGCUCAUGUGCGAAAGCUAGGGCAGCGAACG
rnacentral:rRNA from 1 species